AUGAGUUGCCUAAAAGAAGUUUCGACACUCAGAGGUGACAAUCACACUGAGUGGAGGAAGAAAGUUGAACUGGCAUUUGUCUGUGCUGAUCUGGAUUGGGUUCUGGAUGAACCACAGCCAGUUAGACCUACGGAGCCAGUAAGAGAGACCACUGAUGAUGAUGAUGCAUGGGCGAAAAAGAGGGGGGGAUUAUGCUCCUUUGGAGAUGUCCUACAUCAUAGAAAACCAAAAGUGGGUCAAUGCAAACAAAAAGUGCAUGUCCUUUAUAAAGAAUACAAUUGA
rnacentral:rRNA from 1 species